UUAACCAAUCAACCUUAAAGUUGAUUACUCAAAGAGAUAUAGUUAGUCCAUGUGGGAAAUGAUUCUAUGGACUAUGAUCAGAAUAUUCAAAUAUCUUCUUUUUGGGUUUGGAAAUCAUAUAUUAAUUAUAUUAUUAUCAAUGAAUUAAUAGCCUAUUCAAUAUAAAUGUAGAAAUGAAUGAAGAAAAAGACAUUCCAAUAUAGACCAAUGAUCACAACUGGUAGCAUGUUAAUUAGGAACGAUGAAUGUCUGGAGCUCCAAGGUCCAACACAAAACAUAGUUAGCUGAGUUCCUCUCUUGGAAAUGAUACUAUAGACAGAUAUCAGAAAUAUACAAAAAUCAUGUUUUUAUUUGGGUUCAUAGAUUUGGAUUUUAUUAUUACUGGUGGAUCAAUGAUGGGACCAUUAAACAAAUAAAAAAUAGAGAAAGAAGAAGAAUAUUACACAUUGCCCAACAUGGGUGAUGCAAGAAAUAUUACCAAUAACAAUGAAAAAAGACACUGAUGCCUCCCAAGAAAUGAAUGAAUCUUUGCCUAAGGAUCAUAUAAACUCUGAUAAGUAAGAGUCAGUUGUAUUUCCUGGGUUAGUCUCGAGUUUGUUUCCUCUGUUAAGAGAACAAAAAUCUACAUCAUGAACAUUUUACAGGUACCUGAAUGACUAAGUAAAUGAAAUGUGGUUCGCAAGAGGCAAUAGGAUAAGGUCCCAGUGUCCUUCAUCGUCUGCUCUGCUCUGUACUCUUCGGAAUGGACGCACUCACGCUGAUUCAGGCGCUUCCAUGGUUACGUGCUUUCUGAUUGCAUGCGUGUGUUUGGAGCAUAGAGACCAAUACAACUAAUGAUGCAAUGGAUAACAAAUAUAGACACAAAUUAAGAGAAAAAAAAAAGAAAAGAAACCCAAACAUGGACCAGGGAUGAUGGCUGGUGGUAUACAAGUCAUGGACAGGAUACAGGGAUACAAGUCAUGGACGAAUGGAUGCACUUGGGGUGAUGUGAGCAUCAUCCAUGGCCACGAGCCCUGUGGUUGCAUGUAUGCAUUAGGAGCAUGGAGACCCAUAAUGGACGCACUCAAGGUCAUUCACGCGUCUUCAGGUUUAUAGCAGCUGUGUGCUUUGCAUCUGCGUCUUGGGAGCCUGGACGACAAUAAUGGAUGUGUUCCAGCUGAUAGAAGAUCAUCCAUGGUCGGGUGCACUAUGUUUUGGGGAGCAUGGAGACCAGUAAUGGGACCCGUCGAGAUUUAAGGAUUCUUCUACGGUCACGUGAUCUCGGGUUGCAUUCAUGUGUUAGGAACAUGGAGACCAUAGUGGUCGCACUCGGCUGAAUUAGACUUUCCACCAUAGUCAUGAGCCCUAUGUUUGCCUCUAUGUGGUAAGAGCAUGGAUCACAAUAAUGAACUCCCUAGAGAUGAUGCUCCAUGGGCAUACGUUCGCCUCUGUGUAAUAGGGAGGAUGGAGAUUAAUGUAAGUAAUAGUUGAAGUUUUUUUCUCAGUUUAAGUGGGUUUAAGGUUAUUCACUGCAUUAUUAAAAAGUGUAAAAUAUAAUUAAGGAAGGCAGCUGUAUCUCAGUGUUAAAUAUGGGAUGUGUGAAACACAUUGAUUAAUGCACAUAGGAAAAGCUGAGGGUAUUAAUGAGAGAGCUAUAUUGAGGUGAGAUUAAUUCUGUAUUUAGAUUUGAGACUUCAAGUCUCUUUUUUAAAAUUGUCCUGCUUAAAAAUUAUUAGUGAAUUCAUGAAUUCACUAAUUAGUGAGUUAGUGAAUUAUUUGAUCAAUAAACAAAUACGAAUCUAUGUAGGAAAAGAGGGACAAUAUUGGAUCAAUGAUGACCACUGGUGGCGUAUGAGUCGUUCGCGAUGAAUACGUGUCUGGAACUCUGAGGUCCAACAGAAAAUUGGUCUAGGCCAUUCCUAUUGUUUGAAGGCAUCCUAUGGACAGAUUUCAGGAAUAAAUAAAGGGUUUAUUUUUGGUCUUGGUAUUCAUGUAUUUUUGUUUUAUUAUUAUAAUUGGAUAAAUGUGAGAAUCAAUAAAUACAUAAAUAAACAAAUAUGAAUAGCGUGAAGCAU